rnacentral:tRNA from 1 species
GGAGAGAUGGCUCAGUGGUUAAGAGCAUUGGCUGAUUUUCCAAAGGACCUGGGUUCAAUUCCCAGCACCC